rnacentral:rRNA from 1 species
UAGAGUUUGAUCCAGGCUCAGAAUGAACGCUGGCGGCGUGCUUAACACAUGCAAGUCGAACGAGAAAGGGACUGCUUGCAGUCCUGAGUAGAGUGGCGCACGGGUGAGUAACACGUAGAUNAUCUACCUUCAAUUUUGGGAUAACCAAACGAAAGUCUGGCUAAUACCGGAUAAAGUUGAUGUAUGAGAAUAUAUUAAUGAAAGUAUGCCUCUGUUAUAAGCAUAUGAUUGGAGAUGAGUCUGCGGACCAUUAGCUGGUUGGUAGGGUAAGAGCCUACCAAGGCGACGAUGGUUAGCUGGUCUGAGAGGAUGAUCAGUCACACUGGAACUGGAACACGGUCCAGACUCCUACGGGAGGCAGCAGUGAGGAAUUUUGCGCAAUGGGGUAACCCCUGACGCAGCAACGCCGCGUGAGUGAAGAAGGCCUUUGGGUCGUAAAGCUCUGUCAACUGGGAAGAAGUUACAGCAAUCUAAUAGGUAGUUGUAUUGACGGUACCAGUGGAGGAAGCGCCGGCUAACUCCGUGCCAGCAGCCGCGGUAACACGGGGGGCGCAAGCGUUAUUCGGAAUUAUUGGGCGUAAAGGGCGUGUAGGCGGUCUUAUCGGUCAGAUGUGAAAGCCCAGGGCUCAACCCUGGACGUGCAUUUGAAACAGUAAGACUUGAGUACGGGAGAGGAAAGCGGAAUUCCUGGUGUAGAGGUGAAAUUCGUAGAUNUUUGGNAGGAAACACAGUGGGCGAAAGCNGCUCANUGGCUCGAUACUGACGCUUAGGUGCGAAAGCGUGGGGAGCAAACAGGAUUAGAUACCCUGGUAGUCCACGCCGUAAACGAUGAGAGCUAGUCGUCGGGUAGCAUGCUAUUCGGUGACGCAGUUAACGCAUUAAGCUCUCCGCCUGGGGAGUACGGUCGCAAGAUUAAAACUCAAAGGAAUUGACGGGGGCCCGCACAAGCGGUGGAGCAUGUGGUUUAAUUCGAUGCAACGCGAAGAACCUUACCAUCCCUUGACAUCCAGAGAAGAGACUAGAGAUAGACUUGUGCCUUCGGGAACUCUGUGACAGGUGCUGCAUGGCUGUCGUCAGCUCGUGUUGUGAAAUGUUGGGUUAAGUCCCGUAACGAGCGCAACCCUUAUCCUUAUUUGCCAGCACAUCAUGGUGGGAACUAUAAGGAGACUGCCGGUGAUAAACCGGAGGAAGGCGGGGACGACGUCAAGUCAUCAUGGCCCUUACGACCAGGGCUACACACGUGCUACAAUGGGAAGGACAAAGGGUUGCUAAGCCGCGAGGUGGUGCUAAUCUCAUAAACCUUUUCGUAGUCCGGAUCGGAGUCUGCAACUCGACUCCGUGAAGUCGGAAUCGCUAGUAAUCGUAGAUCAGAAUGCUACGGUGAAUACGUUCCCGGGUCUUGUACACACCGCCCGUCAUACCAUGGGAGUGGGUUGCACCAGAAGUGGCUAGUCUAACUGUUUACAGGGGACGGUCACCACGGUGUGAUUCAUGACUGGGGUAAAGUCGUAACAAGGUAACCA